GAUGAACGCUAGCGGCAGGCCUAAUACAUGCAAGUCAAGGGGGCAGCAAUGUCACCGGCGGACGGGUGCGUAACGCGUACACAACGUACCUCUAACAGGGAGAUAGUAUCGGGAAACUGGUAGUAAUACCCCAUGUGAUUGAUGACCGGCAUCGGUUGUUGAUUAAAGUACAAGCGGUUAGAGAUCGGUGUGCGUUUGAUUAGCUAGUUGGUGGGGUAACGGCCCACCAAGGCUACGAUCAAUAGGGGGUGUGAGAGCAUGACCCCCCACACGGGUACUGAGACACGGACCCGACUCCUACGGGAGGCAGCAGUAAGGAAUAUUGGACAAUGGUCGGAAGACUGAUCCAGCCAUGCCGCGUGAAGGAUGAAGGCGCUCAGCGUUGUAAACUUCUUUUGGACGGGAACAAAAUGCGGGAUUUAUCCUGUACUGAGGGUACCGUCAGAAUAAGCACCGGCUAACUCCGUG
rnacentral:rRNA from 1 species